GUUGAAGCAGAGGGAUUAUCUCUUAUCAUAUGUUUGAACAUUUGGCGGGGGAGAGAGAAGGCUUAUCACAGUUUAAGGACAUCCGUGGAAGCCAGAACAGAUGUGAGAGAGAAAAGGGGGCUCCAUCCUUCAAGGUACUCAACUGGUUUUUGAGGGGAUGAGUGCCUUCUUGUCUGACUGAAGUGCCAAAUCCUGGCUCCAACACCUACAGAAGCAUCUAUGGAAGGAUGGUCCUGAUCAUUUGUUUUGAAAUCAUGGCAGAACCCAUGGCAGAACCCCAGAAACAAAACACUCAAAAUCAACAGUUAAAAAAUGAAGAAAGACAGAAGAAUUUCUUGAGAUGGGACACUUUCACAUACUCUGUUAAGAAACAAUAAAGAGAUUAUUUUAUUUUA